UUUUUUUGUUUUUGUUUUAUUGUAUAUUUAAUAUUGAUUAUUUUACUUUGUAGUGUGUAUUUUUUUUUUUAAUGUUUGAAAAUCUAACCUUUUAUGUAUGCAUCAUCUUUUUUGGUGUAUUUGAAGAUCUAACAUUUUUAUUUAUAUGUUAUUUUUUUUAGUCGAAAAAAUCUGAUCGGAAAAAUUGGACAAACAAGCAUGUUGCACUCAAAUAAUAAAGCGGCCAAA
rnacentral:lncRNA from 1 species